ACUAGUGCCACCUGGCGGCGACUUUGCACACAACAACAAAGCACAGUUUCAAGGAGGAAGGUAGGGCAGCAUAGAAGUAGUGGAACACUGGCUGAGCUUAUAGCACUGUUGUCUUCCGGCGGGUGUUCAAUGAAGCAGGAUUCCCCAGUUAGCUGGACAACUUAAGCCAAAUGUGAAAACUAGUCAAUAGGAAGAGGAAGUUAUCUGGCUAAUUGCGAAAUCCUGGGCGGUAUUCCACAGAACUGGUUAUCUUGCUUAGCCGGAGUAGUAAUGAACAGGAAACAAGGCAAAAUGUUAAUAUAAGGUGGCAGCAGUGACUGCCAUACCUGCUGCCAUGAUAUAAAACCAUCCCGGACUGGUGUCUGACAACAUGGAAGGAACUGAAACUGGCACAUGUUACCUGUACUGUUCAUGUGCUAGACUGGUCUCCAGUCAGAGCGCACCCCUGCUAGUGCCCUGUGCUGCCUGAGCUCCAGGCUCUCUAGUAACCCUCAAGUAAUAAGAGGUUUGAAGAAAUUAAGCUGAAAUUAGCUGCUGAUGCACAUUUUUGAAUCAGUAUUUUAUGCACCUUUUAAACCUGAAAUAAUGAAUUAGUGUGAAAUAUCCAUCCAUUUUCCAAACCGCUUAUCCUACUGGGUUGCGGGGGGUCCGGAGCCUAUCGCAGGGCACACUCACACAUCAGUCACUCACACAUGCACACCUAUGGGCAAUUUAGCAACUCCAAUUAGCCUCAGCAUGUUUUUGGACUGUGGGGGGAAACUGGAGUACCCGGAGGAAACCCCACAACGACACAGGGAGAACAUGCAAACUCCACACACAUGUGACCCAGGCGGAGACUUGAACCCCGGUCCCAGAGGUGUGAGGCAACAGUGCUAACCACUGCACCACCAUGCCGGCCCCUAGUAAGAAAUAUUUAAAUAUAUAAUGUUGUGUCUGCUAAAUGUAAUGAAAUUUUUUACAGCACAAGUUGUGAAAGAUACAAGUUGCUUCUGUUGUUAAAAGUCUUGAUUUCUGUAGA